GAUGAACGCUGGCGGCGUGCCUAAUACAUGCAAGUCGAGCGAACAGACGAGGAGCUUGCUCCUUCGACGUUAGCGGCGGACGGGUGAGUAACACGUAGGUAACCUACCUAUAAGACUGGGAUAACUUCGGGAAACCGGAGCGAAUACCGGAUAAUAUUUUGAACCGCAUGGUUCGAUAGUGAAAGAUGGUUUUGCUAUCACUUAUAGAUGGACCUGCGCCGUAUUAGCUAGUUGGUAAGGUAACGGCUUACCAAGGCAACGAUACGUAGCCGACCUGAGAGGGUGAUCGGCCACACUGGAACUGAGCCACGGUCCAGACUCCUACGGGAGGCAGCAGUAGGGAAUCUUCCGCAAUGGGCGAAUGCCUGACGGAGAAACGCCGCGUGAGUGAUGAAGGUCUUCGGAUCGUAAAACUCUGUUAUUAGGGAAGAACAAACGUGUAAGUAACUGUGCACGUCUUGACGGUACCUAAUCAGAAAGCCACGGCUAACUACGUG
rnacentral:rRNA from 1 species